GCAGACGUUUUGAAAACCACCCAAGGCCGGACGCCGCAACAAGAGGCGGCGGCUCAGAUUUCCUUGAAGUAGCCCCCCUGACCAGCGUUUCUGGGAUGAGACACUGGAACUUGCUGCAUCCACGUCAGGAGUUAGCCACCUGUGAAGGGAAGAGAAAGUGUCCUCUCUGUGCCAUCACCACUGGCCAGGCGUCAGCAAUCAGCAUGAGCAUCUGAGCAUCCGCCUGCCUAGAGAUAGUUCGGCCUGGACAUCUGAAGCGCGUUAGCUGCCUGCUCCCCAGGGGCUGACCUGCUUGUUGAGAAUUAUCCCAGGCAGAGCCACAGAGGAUGGAGCAAACAAAGACCAGCUGUUCCCCGAGGAAUAAGCCUUGACAGCAGAUCCUGGAAGGCAGCCUCAGACCGGAUUCUGGAAAGGCCUGGCUUCUCUUGAGGAACAGGGGGGCUUCCGCUCAAAAGAAGCUGUUUAAAUGCAGGAUAUGGUAGGAAAGUCUACUGGCCAGGAGUCUGGAGCACACAGCCAGCCCCAUCUGGCCUGUGGAUUGACUGUGUGACCUUAGGCCAGUCCCUCCCCUCACAGUUUCUUCCGCUGUGAAAUGAGGACUUGGACUUGACCCGGUGGUUUCCCCACAGCCUGUGUCAGUCUGGUGGCUUCUCUUGGGCAAGGACAAUGCCUUCUCCCCUUCAGUGGGCCAUGGAACUUAGAAUCAGAGGGUAGGGUGCAAGCUCCUGCAGACCACUCCCUGCCUGGGCGACCCUGGGAAGGGCGCCACACCACUCUGCACGCUGUCCACCACGGGAAGACACAGGGAAUUUGUGGAUACCGUCCCAAUAGAAC